GAAUUCCAGGCCUUAUUUUUACCACGUGCUGGAUACACCCAGAGGUGCUGACAGCUCCUCAGAGUCCAACAAGUUUGAAAGAGGAUUCUUCACAUUCCCCACAGCUUGGGGUCCCAGCUGCCUCAUCUGGAGAAUGACACCAGUGUCACUCAGGCUGCAGCCAGCAAACAUCUCCCUGCCCUUCCUCACCUUAGCCCCAGCAUUUCCCAUCCUCCCAGAUGCCUUAGGCCUGUCACUCCUCUCAGCCCUAACCGAAGUGGCCUAACUCAGUCCUGCCCUGUCUGUCUCUCCACGCAGCACCAGUGUGACCUCCUGGAACCCACUUCAAUCCCAUCGUUCCCCUGGGUAAAACCCCAGGACAUCAGAGCCAGGUGGACUUCAACUAUCCAUCCUCACCACCUAUAACAAGGGAACUGGUGAUUUCUAUCUGGACAUUCAGCCAUGAAACGAGACCUUCCCAGACUCCCCACAGCCCUUUGCCUUGGUAAACUCUGAAGAGCACACCCAUACCCAUCGCUAGAGAGACUUAAAUUAAAAAUAGAUCUCAAGUUUUGAUGGGAGUGUGGAGCAACUGGAACUCUCAGACGCCGGAGGAAUGAGGAACAGGGUGCGAGUCCUGGAUGUACACAUUUACCUGAAGUAAUCAGAACAUGUGAUUAAAGUCUGUGCAUUUUAAUGAAAGUGAUGUCAAUAAAAACAAGAAAAAUGACACACAGAGAGUAUACAAGAAAACUAUUGUUUCUAUAAAGAAAGAAGGAAGCCGAGGAUUUAACCCAGCGGUUUCGCCGCCUGCUGUGCAAGUGCAAGGACCUGAGUUCAAUCCCCGGUACAAAAAAAAAAGAAAAGAAAAAGAAGGAAGAGAAACGAAAGGAACAAAUUAAGUCCAUACAAAUCCAAGAACCAAGGCAGAGGCUGCCCUGGUCUGGGGCUCCUGGUCUUUUGGGGGUCUCCCGCAGGACUUGUGGUUCCCUGAGACUCAGAGCAGGCCCUGCAGGAGGUGCACAGGGGACUUGGCAGAUACCAGCAACCAGUGCCUUCUCCCCCACUCAGGACUCCCCCAGCCCCUCCCAGUGCACCCUCCCGGUGCUCCAAGCAAGCAGAAGAGCUGGCGCGUUCAGCACCUGGGAGGAGAAACUGAGCUUCCAGUGGCCAAGACUGGAAUCUCAUUCAUGUUCAUCUGCCCCACACUCGGCAUAAGGCCUGAAUGUGGAGUCUCCGAACUGAACUGUGCUGAGCAUCCUCCUGCAGCUGCCAGGGCCAGAGCCCGAGCUCAGGGUGCUGGUCUGACCUGAGGCCCCAGCACCAGACCAUCUGAGUUCCCUGCAGCAUCCAUGGUCCUUACCGCACCCCCUUUUGUCUUUGUCCCCAUGGCUUUUCUCUCCCAAGUAGGUCUGGGUGUGCACAACCUACACUUACACAAUUGGGGUCCUGGGCACACGAACUCAGGGCUCUACUUUGGUGAUUAAAAUGACUCGGUAGUGGAAAAUCUGGGUCAGCCCACGAUGCCAGUAAGGGACAGGGUCUCCCCAACAUGCUCACAGUCAGCUAACAGUGCCACGGGAAACAUGCCCAAUGGCCAUCCAGAGCCCACACCGAGGCUGCUGAGCGGCCACACACACCUGCCGCCCACCUUCACAGCUCUCUGGGUUUCUCAAAUUAACCACCUCAGCUGAGCAGAGCGAGUCCAGGUCUGGAGCGAAGCUGAAGCCGACGGUGGCCCUGGUCACCGCAGACCUGCUUAAUUGGAUUUGACAACCAUGAUUUAUUUACCAAGCAGCUCUUUGCUUCAAGUCAUAAUCAUAUCUAACACUCAUCUCAUCUCUGCUUUGCUUAGGGUUCCAAAAAUCCAGAUUUUCCUUGACACUCUGCAAGGGGAAUGAGGAAACCACAGCGGACUUGAAAAAUUUUUUCAAUUAUAUGGUCUCAGAGUUUUUCCUUGUAUAGCUAAUUUGGCCAGUUCUGAGGACAUCAAAAAGAAGGAAAUCAGAUCACAACCCCUGGCGCUACUUCUGGAUAUAGGCAAGUCAAUCCUACCUCUUCUCUGCCUGCAGCAACUUUCUAAAAGGGACAAGGGUACAGUCUGGAUCUGGAGGGUUCCCCAA